UCCUACCAGUACCUUCCUGCCCACCUCAUAUUCCAGCUUCCUGAGAAAGCUGAUGAUUCAACUAAUCCUUGAGUGCACCCCUUACUCCUCCACCGGGGCGGGAAAUAGUGUUAAUGACUGUAAUAAUAACUCAUUUAGCGAAUGCUUACCAUGUGUAGGUACUAUGCGAUUUACAUUGUCUCCCGUCGCCUACACAGCCGCCUAGGGAGCCAGUAACUAUCUGUAUACCCAUUUUACAGAUUGGAUAACUGAGGAUGGGAGGGAUCUAGCAACUUGGCCAAGGUUGUGUAACCAAAAAAGGAGUGCAAGACGAAAUCCCAGAAGCACUCAGUAAAGCACUGCUGAAUCAGAUGAAAUAACCCAAACCAUUUGGGAGAAACCUACAAUCUCACCUCUAAGAAUAAAAACCUGUCUCUGGGCCCAGGAGCUGUAGGCUGCAGCUCCUCCAUCCACAACUCACAGCCUCUCUCCUUCCUGCCCCUAUCCAUUCUAGCUUUAGUAGCUUCACUCUCCCUGCUAUUAAAUAAUUUAUUGUUAUAAUAAUACCUUGUGCCUCAGUGAUGCCUUUAAUCCAAGAUCUCAAAGUGUUCUUCUUCAUCGUACCCCCACCGACAUGGGGAGAUGGAGGUAUUUCCCCCACUUUAUGGGUGAGAAAAACCAAGACAACAUAGAGUAGAAAUGACUCACUAUGGAAAUCAAUGGCGUGGUUUCUUCUCUGGGCCCUUCCCCUCCUCCUUCCAAACUCUUGGCUGCCAACAUGUGCAUCAAAAUUUCAAAUUCCAGAGACAAAGGCCAUUGAGUUUUCACAAUAAAGGACAUUUGCAAA